CCACUCGACGACUAAGAACUGGUCCAGUACAUCAUCACUGGCCUAGAUGAAGAUUUCAGCCCCAUCAUCUCCGCCAUAUGCGCCAGGGUGGAGCCCAUCUCAGUCGGCGAGUUGUAUUCACAGCUCCUCAACUUCGAGA